UGACUUAAGACAGGGAAUUUUUACUAGGAUUAAAUGUCAGGAAUUGUGAAAAACUGAGUUUAAAUGUAUUUGGCUAAGGUGUAUGUAAACAUCCGACUCCAACUGUAUAUUUAUGCUGUUCAUAUACAUCAUUUAUUAUAUUUUACUGGUUUCUUUCAGUUAUUUAAGUGGUUUUAGGUAGUAAAUCUCAGUAAACCUACUAUGAAUACUUUAUGAAGGCACUGUAUAUUUAAGUGGUGCUGGGGGCUCCCGAUGGUGCUGGGGGCAUCUCAGUGCAAGAGGUGUCACUACAGUCCCUGGUUCAAAUCCAGGCUUUAUCACAUCUGGCUGUGAUUGGGAGUCUCAUAGGGCGCGCACAAUUGUUUUUUUAAUUGUAAAUAAGAAUUUGUUCUUAACUGACUUGCCUAGUUAAGUAUAAUUAGUAUCAAUAUUGUGUGUUUCUAGUUUGUCAGUUAGUUGCUUAAAAUGUUGUAUUUUUGAAUUCAAAUGGCUGCAUCUAACGUUAGUGAUAGCUAGCUAUCGUUAGCGAACGGCUUUCAAGGAAGGAUGUUUUUUUUUGUUUUUUUACAUCCGCUUUCUGCAUGAAAUCCCGAAAUGAGCUGUCAAAUCCCGAAAUGAGCUGUGAACUGUCAAUGUCCAUCGAAUUGCAAAAUUGACAUCAAGACUCCAGCCAGCAAGCUGGAGAAAGGUUUUAUGCUGUAUGCUCAUAAUGUUUGAUGUACGCAGGUAAGUUGCAUUCUACUGCUGAUUAUCUGCUUAUGUGUAAUAUUUCUGACUUGUUAUUGUUUGUCACAGUGUCAAACAGAGACGAGUGGAGAGGUCAGUGUGAGGGCCUGUUGCUACAGGUCAAUAAAGAAGAACAAGAAGCCACACAGUCUUGAGAGUAAGGAGAAAGCUAGCAUAGGAUUGUUCAAAUUUCACAACCAGUCACAAGUUUAGAUGUUUAAGUGUCAAGUUUAGAUGUUGGAAGUGUACAAUCAGCCGGCAGAUCCAAAGGUUAGGGAUCAAAACAUGUCAGGGAGGAUUAGUUAAGGUUCGGCACAGGGUUACAAACGCUGCCGGCUGUAUAUCCACUGCCUAAAAUGUUUGGUAUGCUGUGCUCUUAAUUCUCUUGUAUUAACAAAUAGGCCUAAAUAUAUUUGGUUUAGUAGGCUAGAUUUCACACUGUCAUCAAUGUUUUUAAUACCUCUAAUCACAUACUUUUUUUGCUCUGGGAUCAGUUUAGAUUGCUUUGUGAUUCUGACCCUGUCGUCCUCACCCAUCACCAUUGCACAUGUGUAGCAGGCAACUGCUCUCUGCAAUCAUCCAGUUGCACUGCUCUUCCAGACGGUAUACGUCUUUCUCCCAGUUAGUGUGCCAGGUGUGCCUCCUGUUCACAGCUGUACAAAGGCAGAACAAUGAUGGCACAAACCUAGAACAACUAAGUGUUGUAACAGUAAAUUAUAGAUGCAAUUACAAUGUCUAGAUUUACCCACAGUAGCUAAAUAAUACAAUUCCUUGAGAUAAUCAUGUAUAUCCCUUGAUUACUAUUUACUGUCAGUGGUCCACAUUCAGUGUUUAUGAAAAGGGUUUUCCUGGUCUACGAUUGGUUCUCCCUCUCAGAGGUUGCAAACAUGGCUCUAUAUUUGUCUCGCAGGGUUUGAAUCCCGGGCCCAUUGACAAGAUGGUUAUAUCCAAGCCUACACCAAACCAUAUGGCAGAAGGAGUGUGUACAAAAGCACACAAAGGGAUGGUUCGACUGUUGCUGGAUCUCUCUGUGCUGAAGGUGGAAGAGACUUACAGGGAUUUCCACACUCUGGACAAACCCCUGGCGAAAACCAUGGGCAUGACUGUUGACAAUUCUCUAGUCGACUCUGCUUCCGGGUUGGUGCAGAAGGGGAGUGUCCUAUCUUACCAGCAGCCGAAGCUUACAACUAAGCACAUCAAACUCCAGCAAGAUGCUCCACAAAAAUCCAUACCUACCUCUAAUCGAAUACCAGCUUGGGCCAUCGCAGUGCAUGUUUGUUUCCCAUGGAGUGGCCACCUUUUGGGUUGGUUGAAAUAAAGUGCCCCAAUGUAAAAAUUGUUGAUAUAAAUAUCUGCAAAUGCAACAUGGCACUUUUACCCUACGGAGGAGCCAUGCGUACUAUUGGCAGGUGCAAGGCCAACUGCUCGUUCCUGGGCUCGAGUGGUGUGACUGUCUAUGCCCAGGAAGACGUGCUUGUGCAGCGACUGCAUCUUGAACCUGAGGUCACAGCGGUGAUCAGAGAGAAGGCAGACUCCUAUUAUUCCAACGUGUUCAUUCAGAAGUACUUGUCUGUGAAGCCACAGUACUAAAUCUGUUUCAGACCAAGCGCAGCCCCACAAUGUGUGAAGCCCUUACAGUAUAUUGAACUAAUUUCUUGUUGAUGAUUGAUUUGUUAUACAGUCUUUUGAUCAUGCUGUCUGUGCAUCCACUAUUGUUUGAUUAAAAAAUACCAAAGGUAUAGUUCAAUGUGUUGUAUAUUUAUAUAAAAAAUAUAUUAUAACAGUA